rnacentral:rRNA from 1 species
UACAGAGGGGGCAAGCGUUAUUCGGAAUUAUUGGGCGUAAAGGGCGCGUAGGCGGCCUGUUAAGUCGAACGUGAAAUCCCUAGGCUCAACCUAGGAACUGCGUCCGAUACUGGCAGGCUUGAAUUCGGGAGAGGGAUGCGGAAUUCCAGGUGUAGCGGUGAAAUGCGUAGAUAUCUGGAGGAACACCGGUGGCGAAGGCGGCAUCCUGGACCGAGAUUGACGCUGAGGCGCGAAAGCCAGGGGAGCAAACGGG